UGGGAUCCUGUUUUCGAAGACGCAUCGUAAACUAUUCUCGUUUUUGUGGAUUCUGAAGAUUCGCGCACGACCGGAUGAUGAGGUAAAUAGAACACAGUUCCAGUUGGUGGCUCAUUUGCAGGUUCAACAAUUCCUUCUUUCAGUUGGUCUUGAAUAAUUGAAUUGUAUUCAUUGAAUUUGUCAGUUUUCUUCAAUCGCUGCACCAAGGUCCCCAAACGUUUCAAACUGUUCUCCUCAUUUGAGGGCAAAGGCGGAUGGCCUCCCUUCCAAGGGAGGCCAGUCUCAU